rnacentral:lncRNA from 1 species
GAUACGCAACUCACGAAUGCAAAGCAUGCAGAUGAGAAACCCAUUAAUGCUAUUGUUAUAAAUUCAGUAUCUGACUUCAAUAUCACAGAUGGACCAGCCAAGGAAAACCCCAAUGAGAAAAAACUGUCAGAAUCCAGCACAUCACUGUCCUCCCUUGAAGAAUGCCAAACAACAUUUUCUUACCUCCAAACUGAUACUUCAGUUCAUCACAGAGACACUGAUGAGGAGUGUGCCUCCCUUAUCCUCGCCUGUCUGUUUUGCCAGUUUUGGGACUGUCUCCUGAUGCUCCCCGGCACCUGCGAAACGGUGUGUACCAAAAUGUGCUGCCCCUCUCGCCGGUAUCACCACACCUCGGAUGAAAACCACUCUCGGAAUGAUUGCAGCUGCAAUUGUGACAUGGACUGCAGCCUUUUUGAAUCUUGCCAUGAGACCAGCGAGUGUCUGGAACUGGCCAUGGAGAUUUCAGAAAUCUGUUACCGCUAG